ACGGAGGAUGCGAGCGUUAUCCGGAUUUAUUGGGUUUAAAGGGUGCGUAGGUGGACUGUUUAGUCAGUGGUGAAAUGCUGAUGCUCAACGUUAGCAUUGCCGUUGAAACUGACAGUCUUGAGAGUGAUUGAGGCAGGCGGAAUGUGUGGUUGGGGGUAAAAAUACAAAAAAAUCACACAAAACCAAGUUGGCGAGGGCAGCUAGCAAAGCCACAACUGACACUGAAGCACGAAAGCGUGGGGAUCAAACAG
rnacentral:rRNA from 1 species